CCUACGGGAGGCAGCAGUGAGGAAUAUUGGUCAAUGGACGAGAGUCUGAACCAGCCAAGUAGCGUGAAGGAUGACUGCCCUAUGGGUUGUAAACUUCUUUUAUAUGGGAAUAAAAUGUUCCACGUGUGGGAUUUUGUAUGUACCAUAUGAAUAAGGAUCGGCUAACUCCAUGCCAGCAGCCGCGGUAAUACGGAGGAUCCGAGCGUUAUCCGGAUUUAUUGGGUUUAAAGGGAGCGUAGGUGGAUUGUUAAGUCAGUUGUGAAAGUUUGCGGCUCAACCGUAAAAUUGCAGUUGAAACUGGCAGUCUUGAGUACAGUAGAGGUGGGCGGAAUUCGUGGUGUAGCGGUGAAAUGCUUAGAUAUCACGAAGAACUCCGAUUGCGAAGGCAGUUCACUGGACUGCAACUGACACUGAGGCUCGAAAGUGUGGGUAUCAAACAGGAUUAGAUACCCGUGUAGUC
rnacentral:rRNA from 1 species